GAUGAACGCUAGCGAUAGGCUUAACACAUGCAAGUCGAGGGGCAGCACGGUGUAGCAAUACACUGGUGGCGACCGGCGUACGGGUGCGUAACACGUAUGCAACCUACCCGCUAUUGGGGGAUAACCCGGCGAAAGUCGGACUAAUAUCCCAUAUUAUUCUUACCGGGCAUCCGGUGAGUCUGAAAGAUUUAUCGAUUGCGGAUGGGCAUGCGGAUGAUUAGCUAGUAGGUGGGGUAACGGCUCACCUAGGCGACGAUCAUUAGGGGUUCUGAGAGGAAGGUCCCCCACACUGGUACUGAGACACGGACCAGACUCCUACGGGAGGCAGCAGUGAGGAAUAUUGGUCAAUGGGCGAGAGCCUGAACCAGCCAAGUCGCGUGAAGGAAGAAGGUUCUAUGGAUUGUAAACUUCUUUUGCAGGGGAAUAAAGGACGGUACGUGUACUGUUUUGUAUGUACCUUGCGAAUAAGGAUCGGCUAACUCCGUGCCAGCAGCCGCGGUAAACUGU
rnacentral:rRNA from 1 species